rnacentral:rRNA from 1 species
UACGGAGGAUGCGAGCGUUAUCCGGCUUUAUUGGGUUUAAAGGGUGCGUAGGCGGACUGUCAAGUCAGCGGUAAAAUACGGGGGCUCAACCUCCGCCCGCCGUUGAAACUGACGGUCUUGAGUACAGUAGAGGUGGGCGGAAUUCGUGGUGUAGCGGUGAAAUGCUUAGAUAUCACGAAGAACUCCGAUUGCGAAGGCAGCUUACCAAGCUACUUCUGACGUUGAGGCACGAAAGCGUGGGGAGCAAACAGG